CCUACGGGAGGCAGCAGUGAGGAAUAUUGGUCAAUGGUCGGGAGACUGAACCAGCCAAGCCGCGUGAGGGAUGAAGGUACAGAGUAUCGUAAACCUCUUUUGUCAGGGAACAAAGGCGGGGACGUGUCCCCGGAUGAGUGUACCUGAAGAAAAAGCAUCGGCUAACUCCGUGCCAGCAGCCGCGGUAAUACGGAGGAUGCGAGCGUUAUCCGGAUUUAUUGGGUUUAAAGGGUGCGCAGGCGGUCUGUUAAGUCAAGGGUGAAAUCCCCGCGCUCAACGUGGGAACUGCCUUUGAAACUGGCAAACUGGAGUGUGUGAGAGGAGAGUGGAAUUCCAGGUGUAGGAGUGAAAUCCGUAGAUAUCUGGAGGAACAUCAGUGGCGAAGGCGACUAUCUGGCACAUAACUGACGCUGAGGAGCGAAAGCGUGGGUAGCAAACAGGAUUAGAUACCCCGGUAGUC
rnacentral:rRNA from 1 species